GAAUAUGGACUCAAACAAACUUCUUCUCAAGAGAAUGACACAUGGUCUGAAAUGGGGUACAAUAAGAUUGUGAUGUAAAGACUACAAGACUACCAGAUUAUUCUUACUCCUAAAAUUCCUGCUCGAUCAGCCAUUAUCCAGCCUAUCAACCAGUCGACAUCACUGCGAUGGUUUGCAAGACAAAUACCACUCUCAGAGCCAAGCUUGUCAUAAUCUUCUUUAUUGCCAUACAGUUUAAUGUUAACACCUCCCCACCACUCUGCCAGAAAUGUUAAUUCUGUAGAAACAAAAAGGUUAAAAUAUCCAAAUGAAUUAUAUUAAAUAAAUCAUAAUCUAGUUUUUGGAACCUUGGAAUUGCAUGGACUGCAGAGAGCAAACCUGUAACAUCAGUACAAAUGUCAACGAUGAAGAUCAAGGUGUAUAGAUGGUAACACCACAUUCACCUGAGUGAUUUACUGUGCUGUACUAAACAUUACCACUGACUAGAAACACAAGCACAAACCACAGCCAAGCGCCGGGCAGCAUCUUGAGUACAU